rnacentral:rRNA from 1 species
AUUGAACGCUGGCGGCAGUCCUAACACAUGAAAGUCGACAGGUAACAGGAAGCAGCUUGCUGCUUCGCUGACGAGUGGCGGACGGGUGAGUAAUGUCUGGGAAACUGCCUGAUGGAGGGGGAUAACUACUGGAAACGGUAGCUAAUACCGCAUAACGUCGCAAGACCAAAGAGGGGGACCUUCGGGCCUCUUGCCAUCGGAUGUGCCCAGAUGGGAUUAGCUAGUAGGUGGGGUAACGGCUCACCUAGGCGCCGAGCCCUAGCUGGUCUGAGCGGCUGGACAGCCACACUGGAAAUGAAACACGGUCCAGACUCCUACGGGAGGCAGGAGUGGGGUAUAUUGCACGAUGGGCGUGGGCCUGAUGCAGCCAUGCCGCGUGUAUGAAGAAGGCCUGCGGAUUGUAAAGUACUUUGGGCGGGGUGGAAGGCGAUAAGAUUAAUAGCCUUGUCGAUUGACGUUACCCGCAGGAGAAGCACCGGCUAACACCGUGCCAGCCGCCGCCGUAA